GCCCCGGGCGCUGGAAUGUGGGGGCGCUAGGGAGGCUGUUUCUGCAGCCAAAAUCUCUGGUUGCCGCGGAGGUGAGGGAGAUAGGACGGAGACAGUAGUCUGGCCGGCGCGGUUGAGCAGAGCCGAGCCUGGGACUGAUGAGAGCACACUGGCUGGCGGCUGCAGUCAGUCAGUGACAGUGAAUGAGUCACUGUCACUGACGCUGCAGCAUUCCGCACUGGACUCUGCAGGCUCCUCUGACAGGGGAGCUUUCACGGAGACAGCAUGUCUCCAGCAGCCCUGAGCCCACAGCCCUCCCCCAUGCCUGGGAACAGGGGGAGGCACACAACGCAGCAGCGUGGACUGUGAACGAGGGGCAGCUGUGACAGAGAGAGAUUUAUUAUGAGGCAACUACCCUCCUGCAUCUCCAGCCAAAACCCUAAAAGGAUUCUGUGCCGGGAGAGCCAGUGGCCUAUACCCAGUGACUGGUGAACAGAAUGCUUACUGGAACUGCUACAAUGGAAUCACCUACAAACAAUAUUGCUCUGCCGACCUUUUCUUUGAUGUGAACUGUGAAUGCUGCAACUACCCUCCAGCCAGUGACUAUGGUAGGGGUGAAGGUGAUUUUGUAUUUUAAGUUGGCAAAACCUGUGGCCUGUAUUGAUUGGCCAGAAACAAGACUGAUAGGCCAAGUGCAAAGGAGUGGAAUCACCUACAAAUCUCUUUAUAUUGUUUAAUCUAUUGACUUUAUUAACUCUGAGCUAUUCCUACUACAGCAUUAACCCAGC